ACUCUAAAAAUGUCCUGUACAGCAACAUGACAGAAGAAUGGUGGUCUGUCUGUCAGAAUGUGCUGAACAGAUUUGCUCUAUCAAGAGGAGCCUUAAUGUGUACGAGGUUCCCCUUGAGUAAUAUUGGUUUGGGUUAUGUAUCGCCACAUCAGUAUGUAAAUGCUGAACCAAUCUGGAAUAAAGACUGCUGACAGAGGAUAAACAAGUAAAUAAGAGAAAAAUUAAUACAACUAGCAAACCAACAUAAAAACAGCAACCAGCAGCUGCACCUGUGAAGAAACAUUUCCAAGAGUCAUCAGGAAAACGUGGGAUGAACAACUAUAAACAUGUAAAGCAUGAACCACAAACAUGAACAACAAACAUCGACAAGCAUGUGUUUGUGCGUGUGCUGGGAUGUGAAGUGUUAGACUGGAUCAGGUGCACUCUGGAACAGCCACAAGCAUCAGAAAACCUUGCUACAGAGAACUCAGCAAGGCCACAUCCAGAACCGGCUGACACAGGUCAUGGGCCACAUGGCACAGGAAUCACACAGCAUUUCCACCUGAAACAGAAUCAUUAAAAUUAGAAUCAAAUAAAACAGUUGUUCAGUCUGACAUCAAAAGGAUUUUUAAAGAUGGCAAUUGGACUUCUUUGGUUUCAUGAAUAUAGGAGGGUUGAUCUUAAGCCUGAUUCAUGCUUCGCCUACAUCAGUGCGGAGACACGCAACUCCAUUAUCCGUCCUUGCGUAGGGCCCCAGCAGGCACUCAAGUACACACGGAGUCGAGCCCACUUUUUUAAACAUCUGUUUAACGAGACGGACAGCGCAAGCUUGCGUUUGGUCAGGAUGCCGUUGUCGUCUACAGCGCCGCCAUUGCGCACUCAAAAACAAAGAGCCGAGGAUAACUAGCAACAGGCACGGAGAAACUUGAAGAACACCUCGCAAAAACCUCUAAAAACAUGAACGUGUUUAUUCCCCGUGACUGGAGGAGUGAAACGAUGCACAGCAAGCGUUUUAUUUGUAGACGGAAAUGACAGGAAUCAUGGGUUUGGAGGUGGCGAGCCCGUGAAGAGGUGUAGGAGAAUGCGACAAAUUUGUCUGUUAAAAAGUCUGUUAUGUACAAAAAACACAAUAUCAUCACACUAUUUUGGACCGAUACAUGACAGGAUACCACAGAACAGAUCUCCGCCCUCUGCUGUCCGGUCUGGGAAUUGCUUUGCAACACUCCCCAGGAGACGGAGAAGUAUGAGAGCUAAACGUCUCCGUCCGUGCCUGCGUGUCUCUCCCUGUUGGAGCUGACAGAGAAGCAUGAAUCAGGCUUUAUUGUAGCUGUCAAUUGUUGCUUGAUAAGCAGAAACUGUCACCUUCAAAACACCUCCUCUGCACAGGUGUUUCUUUGUAAUUAGGAACAGGAAUAAAGUUAUAGAGGUCAGCAGGUAAAAGAUCAGCUUAAAUUAAUUUCACCAUUAGAACAAAGGAUGUUGUGUAGGCGUGAGAUCACCAAAGAUGAUAGGGUCUUUUAAAUCUUACUUUCAGAUAAGCUGAUGACAUUCAGAACUUACCUUGUCAUUCCUACUUACCUGUUCUUCCCUUCUUGGAACAGGUUUUUUGACCUUAAAGGACGAGAAGAUUGUAGGUACGGCUGUGUCCUUCAGGCAAACUCUCCCCUAAAAUAAAAAAACAUAAUUACUUACAGAGCGGGUCAAGUGAGCCUCGGAGUCCUUCUCCACCCACGUAUCAAUUUUAAAAAAUGCAACAUUAGUAGGCGUUGCCUGGAGGACCGAGAGGGCGGAGCCGCGGCAGUGACGAAGACGACGGCUAACUAGACGAUGCUAGCUCCCUUCACUCUAUGCAGUUAUUAGAAAUGGAGGACGUUUCUCCCCCUCCUUACCCAGACACUCGAGAAGAAAGGGACCAAGUCUAUUUGGAGGAGACAAGCGGACCUGAGCCUUAUUGUUGUGAGCUUGUGAGUUGCCUGUAACUCCCAGAACCGACCCAACAGAACCACCUCUGAAUGUCCUCUGGUGUCUGCAGCUGGUCUCCUCUGCUGGUGUCGUCAGGAUCAGGAGCUUCCAGAAGAAUGUGCCUUUCAAUGACUCUUUCCCCCUUGUUGUAUUAAUUCAAUAAAUCUCAAUUUAUAUAUUUCCUGUUUUUUUUUUCAUGUCCAUAAACACUUAAACAUGCUUGAAAUUAAAACGAGCUUUUAACAGUGAGGUGCUAGUUUAAAUCAUCACAAUAGAGCUAGUUAAACAUGCAAUGUGAUAAUUCAAUUAAUGUAAUUUAUAAAUAUAUAUUAAAAUAUCAAAACUGGAAUCUAUAUGAGAUAUUUGGCAGCACAAAAAACUUGUCAAACACAAUAUUUAUUAUAAUAAUUGUAGGCAGACAGGAGACAGAGCUGAUGGAGGUUCUCAGUCAUCGAAGGAUGGCUGAAGGCUUUCCAGGAACAGGAGAUGUGGUGUUGUCUCUUCUCUCUCUAUUCUGCCAGAUGAGCUGAUAGGUUACAGGUGUGUGAGGACAUCCUCAUGCUGUCAUAACCAGAUGACAGGAGUUAUCAGGUGAUCAGCCAGGCUAAUGAGAUGCAGAAAGAAAACAAAUUCAGGACAGUGUACUAUAUGUGGUGUUGCUCACCUUAUGUGCUGUUAUAGAGUUAUUAACGUGUGCCUGCCUCAUGUUGUAGAGUCCAUAUUUUGCUGAGUGUCCUGCAAUAAUGCAGGUUAUUAGUUAAUUUACUUUUGAUAGCAAAAACAAAAUAUUUAAUGUAAAAGUUGUUUUCCAGGUGAAUCAGCUCACACGUCACCACCAAGUGUCACGGGGGCAGAAUCAGUAGCCUCUGUCAUGAUGUAAUCACAUACUUAUUUAAUUGUUAAUAUCUUAAAAAUUCUGAAAUGUUUUAAUUUUUUUUUUACCUUGAACAGUUCACUGAGCUUGCACUGUCACUGAGGUGGAAGCUGGAAUCAACAGCAGACACCUCACACCUUGGUCUUUUCAGGGGGUGCGGCCGCUGAUCUGGGACCUUCUGGAAGAUGAAUUUUCAUCAUGGUCCCCGUGGGUCACCAGACACACUGCGGCUGUGAACUCCAUUCUGGCUGGCUAUGUAAAAACAAAGAAGCAGCACAUUUAUAAAUGUUUAAAAGAGCAUAAAAUCACGUGUAACAAUAAUCU